CCUACGGGUGGCAGCAGUGAGGAAUAUUGGUCAAUGGACGAGAGUCUGAACCAGCCAAGUAGCGUGAAGGAUGAAUGCCCUAUGGAUUGUACACUUCUUUUAUAAGGGAAUAAAGCGAGGGACGUGUCCCUUUUUGCAUGUACUUUAUGAAUAAGGAUCGGCUAACUCCGUGCCAGCAGCCGCGGUAAUACGGAGGAUCCGAGCGUUAUCCGGAUUUAUUGGGUUUAAAGGGAGCGUAGAUGGGUUUUUAAGUCAGUGGUGAAAGUUUGCGGCUCAACCGUAAAAUUGCCAUUGAUACUGGCAGUCUUGAGUAUAUUUGAGGUAGGCGGAAUUCGUGGUGUAGCGGUGAAAUGCUUAGAUAUCACGCAGAACCCCGAUUGCGAAGGCAGCUUACCAAACUGUGACUGACACUGAUGCUCGAAAGUGUGGGUAUCAAACAGGAUUAGAUACCCCAGUAGUC
rnacentral:rRNA from 1 species